GCCGACUUAGCUCAGUCGGUAGAGCAACUCAUUCGUAAUGAGUAGGUCGGAGGUUCGAUUCCUCUAGUCGGCACCA
rnacentral:tRNA from 2 species